AUUGAACGCUGGCGGCAGGCUUAACACAUGCAAGUCGAGCGGAGAUGAGGUGCUUGCACCUUAUCUUAGCGGCGGACGGGUGAGUAAUGCUUAGGAAUCUGCCUAUUAGUGGGGGACAACAUUCCGAAAGGAAUGCUAAUACCGCAUACGUCCUACGGGAGAAAGCAGGGGAUCUUCGGACCUUGCGCUAAUAGAUGAGCCUAAGUCGGAUCAGCUAGUUGGUGGGGUGAAGGCCUACCAAGGCGACGAUCUGUAGCGGGUCUGAGAGGAUGAUCCGGCACACUGGGACUGGGACACAGCCCAGACUCCUACGGGAGGCAGAAGUGGGGAAUAUUGGACAAUGGGGGGAACCCUGAUCCAGCCAUGCCGCGUGUGUGAAGAAGGCCUUAUGGUUGUAAAGCACUUUAAGCGAGGAGGAGGCUACUGAGACUAAUACUCUUGGAUAGUGGACGUUACUCGCAGAAUAAGCACCGGCUAACUCUGUGCCAGCAGCCGCCGUAAUAC
rnacentral:rRNA from 1 species